rnacentral:rRNA from 1 species
UACAGAGGGUGCGAGCGUUGUCCGGAAUUAUUGGGCGUAAAGAGCUUGUAGGCGGUCUGUCGCGUCUGCUGUGAAAAUCCGGGGCUCAACCCCGGACUUGCAGUGGGUACGGGCAGACUAGAGUGUGGUAGGGGAGACUGGAAUUCCUGGUGUAGCGGUGAAAUGCGCAGAUAUCAGGAGGAACACCGAUGGCGAAGGCAGGUCUCUGGGCCAUAACUGACGCUGAGAAGCGAAAGCAUGGGGAGCGAACAGG